UGCCCCCGCCAUAUAAUGGCAGGGGCAUAUAGUGUUACCCUGUUUCGUCAUUCCGUCAUUCCGUCAUUCCGUCCUUCCGUCCUUCCGUCAUCAUCAGUUUCCGUUCAUUAUCUUAAUAACCCUUGCACAUAUUGAACUCAAAUUUGACAUAUGGAUAUGUCAUGAGAAAAUACAGGUCAAGUUCGAAAUUGGUCAUGGUUCGAUGAUUUUUGGCAGAGUUAUGCCCCUUUUACUUUGAAAAUAAUAUGAAAUUUUCAGUUUCCGUUCAUUAUCUCCCCAACGGUACAACACAUUCAACUCAAACUUGACAUAUUGAUAUGUCA